GAGAUGCCCGUGCUGUGGCCCGGAGAGGCUCGUGCUGGGCUUCUGGCCUCGGGGCCGUCAGAGGACCUGUGAGGAGAGGAGGCCACUGCACUUUCGCCGUCUCGGGCCCUGGGUGCCCCGUGUGCUCCGCCAGGGAACCCGUUAGAGACGCAGGCCCCUGUGUCGGCGCCAGCUGGGUCGAGGCCGGGCGUGCGUGUAAGAGCAGAGCUGGCCCUGCCCGCCCCGGGCCAGGCGAGCAGGGCGGGGAGGAGCGGAGGCAGGAGGACCCGGCUCAGCUCGUCUCCCCCUGAGCCGCGACGCUCCUUCACCCUGGAGCCUCCUCGGACGUCCUAGGAGACCACGAGAGAGGCUCUCUUGAAGAUGACAGCCCGGCUACUAAAGAGUGUGCCUCCUGCAUGUUCAUCUGGUGAUUCCUCACAGCACAUUCAGGCUGCGUGGAGCAGGGCCGGGUCUCAUCACACCACCUCUCCCAGGAGUCACCUUUGGGCAGCCCCGUGACUGCUGUCUGUUAUCAUUAACCACUUAGGAUGACACCUCCCAGGCAUGUCCGUUUCAUGUUCCUCUCUUCUCCUUUUUGGUAUUUUGCAUAUAAAUACUCUGAAAUUAGGUAAGUGUCCUCAUUAAAAUUCCCAUUUAUAUAUUCAUUCCUUCACCCAUAUCCACGUGAACUCAUGGUGCGAUUGUUUAAAGGGCUAUGCUCUGUUACUGUGUAGCCCCCAUAGUUAGAGCUCUGAUUUCUCCAGUAGUCAUGUACAGAUGUGAGAGAGCUGGACUAUAAAGAAAGCUGAGUGCUGAAGUAUUGAUGCCUUUGAACUGUGGUGUUGGAGAAGACCCUUCAGAGUCCCUUGGACUGCAAGGAAAUCCAACCAGUCCAUCCUAAAGGAAAUCAGUCCUAAAUAUUCAUUGGAAGGACUGAUGCUGAGGCUGAAGCGCUAAUACUUUGGCCACGUGAUGAGAAGAGCCAGCUCAUUUGAAAAGACCCUGAUGCUUGGAAAGAUUGAAGGAGAAGGGGACAACAGAGAAUGCGAUGGUUGGAUGGCAUCACCGACAGGAUGGACAUGAGUUUGAGUAAACUCCGGGAGCUGGUGAUGGACAGGGAGGCCUGGCGUGCUGCAGUCUAUGGGGUUGCAAAGAGUUGACCAUGACUUAGCAACUGAACAGCAGUUCUGUUUCCACCAUCACUUACUUUGAUGUGUGAAUUCCGUAUUCAGCCAGAGAAGCCCUGCAGGCAGCUCGUGCCCCUGGCCUGUCCCCACUGCUCCAGGAGAAGCUUCCUGCUCUCUGACAUAAUGCAGUAUCCAGGUCCAGACCCGGGAUCGGCCGUCUUUCCCAGGACCCUGGGUUCCUUUAGUGGGUCCCCCUUUAUGCUUCAACUUGAGGGUCCAGCCGCAGACACACUCGGCUGUGACGGGGGCAGAGGGCUCCUCCCUCACCCGCAGCAGGAGGCUGUCGCAGGGUUCCACCCCCGCUGGCCCCCAUGGGACACCUUUGCCCCAGGAGGGCAGGGGACCUGCCCAGGGCCUCCCCUCCGCCUGAGCAGAGGUCCCUGCUGGUUACCAAGGCCUUGUGCCUCACUGCACUGCUGCUGCUUUUUUCUGGUGACUUAAAAAGCCCUGCGUAUCUCUUCUGCUUCACAUUAAUCCCUGUGUUGCUUUAUCGAACCAUUUGUUGCCGCAGUGACUGUUGAUUGCAGAUGUACAUCAUUUCUCCCCCCGCCUUUUCAAGGGCCAAUCACUAUGACAGCGCUCCUGCCUCCUGCCGGAUGAGACCUGGCCCUGGGGCCGGGGCCGUCGAGAAGGACGCUGGGCCCCCCGUGCGCUCGCCCUGCUGUGCCAGCUGUGAGGACGGUGUCUCACUCCACACCCGGCUGUGCCUGUGCUCCCGCAUCGCAGAAGCUACUGAUCCCGCCUCCUCAGAGCCGGCUGCAGUGGGCUGGGGGCGGCUUCCUGCCUGUUCAAGGUGGGGAAGGGGCCUGCCCUCCACAGUCCACAUCCCCCCUCGGGAGACUCGGGUGUCCCCGCUCCCGAGCCUUUCGGGGGUCCUUGGGGAGCAGCCAAGUGUUGUUGCUUUGUCCAUCCUGACGGCACCCAGGUUUCAUCACUGCUGUAUUCUGUCAGUGGCCACUGUGAAUUUGCUUUCCAUCCUCCAAAAAUGCACUGCCGCCUUGAGUCUGCCAUCAACGCCUUUCCUGUUCCACUGGGGAGCACCACCUCUGUUCUAUAGGGAUGACUUCAGUGCUGGGGAGCAGGGAGAGAGGAUGUUCUCAUCUCCUGAGCCACUCGGACCUGCCUUCUCUGCCGCCGUCCAGCUGCUCCUGUGCUUUAUACGUUUACCUCCCCAGCCCUUCCUCUUUUUCAACUGUCCACAAAGACUGAGCACCAAAGAACUGAUGCUUUUGAACUGUGGUGUUGGAGAAGACUCUUGAGAGUCCCUUGGACUGCAAGGAGAUCCAACCAGUCCAUCCUAAAGGAGAUUGGUCCUGGGUGUUCAUCAGAAGGACUGAUGUUGAAGCUGAAACUCCAAUACUUUGGCCACCUGAUGUGAAGGGCUGACUCAUCUGAAAAGACUCUGAUGCUGGGAAAGACUGAGGGCAGGAGGAGAAGGGGACAACAGAGGAUGAGAUGGUUGGACGGCAUCACGGACUCAAUGGAUGUGAGUUUGAGCAAGCUCCGGGAGAUGGUGAGGACAGAGAGCCCUGGCGUGCUGCCGUCCGUGGGGUUGCAGAGUCGGACACGACUGAGCGACUGAACAGCAACAAAGAUGCCGCCUCUGAAGGGC
ensembl:lncRNA